rnacentral:tRNA from 1 species
GAGGGUAUAGCUCAAGUGGUAGAGCACGUGCUUAGCAUGCACGAGGUCCUGGGUUCAAUCCCCAGCACCUCCA